rnacentral:tRNA from 1 species
GGAGGCGUCCCUAGCCUGGUGGCUGGCCCGGUCUUCAAAACCGGUGUGAGCAGCGACCCUGCUCAGGCGGGUUCGAUUCCCGUCCGCCUCCGC